UACGUAGGGGGCAAGCGUUGUCCGGAUUUAUUGGGCGUAAAGAGCUCGUAGGCGGUUCCGUAAGUCGUGAAGUCAAAUCUCUGGGCUCAACCCAGAAUCGCUUCCGAUACUGCGGUGACUGGAGUCCGGUAGGGGAGUGUGGAAUUCCUGGUGUAGCGGUGAAAUGCGCAGAUAUCAGGAGGAACACCAACAGCGAAGGCAGCACUCUGGGCCGGUACUGACGCUGAGACGCGAAAGCGUGGGGAGCAAACAGG
rnacentral:rRNA from 1 species